UCUAAAACUAGAAAGUAAUGAGUUUCGUUUUGUUAAACGACUGGAAAUGGGGCAGAGCAGCCGGUCUUUCUUCCAAUAAAAUAAGGAAAUAUGCAUUUUUUUAUUUCUCACACUGUCUCUAAUGACAGUAACUGUAACAAUAACUUUUUGUGAAGUAACAAGCUUUAAUGAUUUUUUUGACAAUUACUCAACAAGGGCUGGAGUGAUGGUCGCGACUGCACUGCGAUCAGUGAUUUUCUCAUCACACAUCCUUGAGUGAAAUAGGUGCACUGACACUGAACUGAGUUACUUUUUUUCUGCUGACAAUUAUAAGGGGUCUAAAACAGUAAUUUGUCUGCUUUACUUUAUUGUUUUAAUAAACUGCAAAAAUCUAAUGGACUUGCAGUGAAUUUGACAGAUUUCCUCAGAACUCAGAGUAUUGGAUUUACUAGUAGCAAACAGAGCAUAUAUGUAAAUAAUUUCCCUAAACUUAGAAUAGUAGUUAUGAAGGUUCGUUGAUCCCCUUCUCACCUUCCAAACCUGUGGGAAAGCAAGGCCAUAAUAGUUGAGAAUACUUCUUUAAACCAGUCAUAAGAUGUGUAUCUUUCCUGGCAAUCCUUAGAUGACUCCUGCUAUUAUUGUUUAUCUGUCCCCAGAGCUUCUUUUGAAUUCAUUAUUCCUAUAAUGCCCAUUUGCCAUAUUUGUUAACAUGCCGGGUCACCUGUCUCACAGCUGCCUGUGUUGACUAGAUCUGCCUUUUCAUCAAUGAGAGCUACCUGCCAUAAUGACCCUCUAAUAAAGUGUUAUUAUCUAUCCACCCAGUCUAGUGUAGCAUGCACAAAGCCACUGGAGGAAUCCAGGCCCUGUCUAAUUCAUUUCUGCUGGGUAUAAAUGUCAGCGUCCUUUUGUGAGGAUUACAGACAUUCCCACAUUAGGGCCGGACUGAUUGUUCUAUAUGGAACGGUGGGAGUGGAAUAGAGCGUUUGAUUUCAGAUAAUGUAGUAUGAGACAAAUGUCACUGGACCGGAUAGGUUUUUUGUCUAAACCUGGCUGCAGACUUGAAUCUGAGACUAUGACAGUGUCAGGGAGAGCUUGAAGAGAUGAGAAUGGCAGUGGUGUGGAUUACACAGUCUGUUAUUACAAUUUGUCAGGUUUUAUGAUGUCAGUGAUGUCUGGAAUUUAUCUCUUCAGCCUUUUAUAUUCCACCUCAUUAUGACAUCCAAAGCCAUCUAAGGUACUAAUUUGUCACUUUGUAUGUCGUUAGCUGAGAACUGUGUUAAGAGGCACGGUGUAAUCCCAAAGUUGGAUCAGUUAUUUGUGGCGUUUUCCUUUUUUUCUGCCUUUAAAUCUGUCAUUUUGAACCCAAGUGCCAGUAUAUAAACUUGCAAAUUACCAAAGCGUAUGCCAAUAACGUUAUAAUUUACACAAACUUUAAAACUUCUUAAAGUGUACAGUAUAGUUUGUAUAGAUCAUUGCUUUACAGAACAUGUUUAAUAUCUUGUUCAGUAAUUGCUAUAUUGAUUGCUAAUGUCAUCGUGAUUUAGUAGAGAAGCAGUCAUGUGGCAGCUUCAACAAUUCAAGGGCCUCUUUGUCCAUUCAUCAGCACCCCUGAUUGGGCCCAUGUCAUGGUUAGCUGCAGGCCCACCAGAUAAAGAUCAGUGGAUGAUUGGGCACACACAUUCUUAACAUGGCUGACCCGUGACAUCUCAGGGGCAGGCAGGGAGCCUGUCAUUAUGUGUACAAUGCAGCGCUUUCUUCCCUCUUAUCUUUGCUGAUGACAUUGAGAGUUUUUGUAUUAACUCAUUAAUGAAAAGACUCAUCAUUAAAGGCAUCACGGGGCACGGUGCGGCGGUGGUGACACUGCAUUGCCACUGUCAGCAGGAAUGUGUCCGAGACUCUACACUAGCACGAUGACAGCAUGAGAACUUCUUGUGCUUUUGUUGUAGAUGUAAAGCUAUAAUAUCAAGUUUCCUUUGUUGCCUUCACCACAGCCCACACUUGCCCACACUACAUUUAAAUCAUGUAUUUAACAUGAUAUGUUACACCUCAGCGUCCCUUUCUGAUAAGGAACCUUAUAUAACGUGUUUAGAAAUUGUGGCUAAUUGUUUUCUCAAUGUUGUUUAAUAAUUCAUUUAAUAAUGUCUGCUGUAAGACAAUGAGAGCAGUGUUUGGGUUGGGGAAAAAAUGUUUGCUGGACACAGUGAGUUUAUAAACAGCUUUAACAGUUUUUAUGGCUGUAAGAAAUGUACGAAUGUGGCUAUAAUGAUAUAGUAUGAUUAGCAUCUUUAGACUUUUAUAGCUUCUCGGGGACCUCACCAAUAAUAGUAUUGUUUUAUAAAUUGUGUAAAUACUGGAAAACGUGAUUUUUCACAACCUUGCAAUGAUAAAUUUCCAAUAAUAUAACUUUAUAAGCAGUUUCUAAUUAAAUAAUUUCUUUAAUUACAGUAAAAAAUGUAUCAAGAUUUCCUUGUUAUAAAGUGGUAUCAAUGCUUUGUUUAACAUGUCCAAAUUUCCCCAUCCAAGCCAGUUUGAUCUUCACGAGCUAGUGGGAGGUUCUGGAUAAAGUGUGUGUCGCUAUCCACUGCAUGCACUAACUGCUGACUGCACCUUGGUGUGUGCGCUCAAAACCAUGCAUGUGUUCCUGUGUGCCAGACGUUAUGGCUGCACAGACCCGCUCUGCAGCCACCAUUGUUGUUUACAGCUCUGUUACGCCCGUCGAUUGAUCCGCAAACAGAUGUAUCUCUGACUGUGAUUCACCAAAGCUGAUUAAGUCACAAGUGUUUUGUGUGGGUUCACCAGCAUCUUGGUUUCAGAGCUGUGUUUUAUUUCUAUAAUUAUUUCCUGUACCUGUUGAAUAUUGAUGAAUUAAACAUAAGUCACAUUUCAGACUGUGAAAUACACCAAGGUCUUAAUACUAUGAAUCUGUAGUGGUUACUUGUUGCUUUUCGGUAUUGUAAUUUGUAAAAUUACAAAUUGUUGAAUAAGCUAUCUGUGGAUAUAUAAAGUAUAAAAAUGCACUUAUGCUGUUUGAAUACAAUCAAAAUAAUGAAACACAGGACUGUCUUAGCCUAAGGAUACAAAAUAAUCAAGGUUUCACAGUGGCAGUUAUCUAAAUGAUUCUCUCAUAAAUCAUUAUAAUUUAGGGGGGAUGCUGCUGAAGCAACGCUAUUGUCUGUGGUGCCGCUUAAUUUGAGGGUCUGAUAAUUAGGGUAGCCUAGUUACCAUGAUAUAACCAAAAGCCAUCUUGGUAUUAAAAAAAUACAAUGAAUUAAAUUAUCUUACUUGUUUAAAAAAUAUAUAACUGAGGGAUGUAAAAGACAAUGCUGUCAUGUGUCAGCAUCAGGUGUUUAAUUUUGUCACACUAAAACAUGCCAGAAAGCAACAAUAGUUACACCUCCUCUCCGUGUUCUUAUACUUUUACAUACAAAAGGACAGAUUACUCAUGGACAAUUACAAACAAAACAAAAAGACAUGAAUAGAAUUUGUGAUAUCUUCAGGCAUUUAGAGCAUUUAUGUACAAGUUUGUUUAACAUUACAGUUGUUUGCUCGUUUAUUUUCACAGUUCACAUUUAGAAGAUGCACUUUUACCUUUGGGCUAUAAUCCCGCUACAGCACAGCUUGAAGUACUACAUACUGAAUUCAUUUACUGUUUUGUGACUUCUAGUAGUAUGUUCGAGAGUUUGCAUUAAUAACAAAAUGCUAAUCCCAACCCUCAUUCAUUAGCGGAUAAGAAGUGUGGUAGCGAAAUAUAGUUGCUACACACUGAUCUGAAAACUUUGUAUAUCAAAUACACACUGUUCAAAAUAAUAAUUCAGAUCACAAAAAGACAUUAUCUUUUUUCAACUUCUGCGCAUUAUCACAACAUUUUUACAACUCCCCUCUCAAUUUAUUGUAAGAAAAACAAGUCUAAUAUUCAACUCUGUAACUGUUGCGGCUCACGUUCUAAAAUAAAGCUACAAGUAACUCCUGUAUGUCCUCACGUGAAGAUAACGUAACUGAGAUAAACAAUGCGUGAUUUUUGGUUUCAAAUGGCUUUCACUCUCGAAGUCAUGAAAUUUUCUUCUUCUUAUGUCGAGUCAUUACGGAUGUGGAGGUCUUUCCAGAUCCAAUUCACGUUCCAUCUUCCGUUUAUUCCCUGCCUCAUAGACCACUGAUUAAAUGUGGAUUAAAUGUGACUUAAAAAAUGGCAUUGCAAUAUUUGCUAUUAUAGAACAUGUUCUGAUAACAAAUGCUGAAAAAGUGUCUGUGGAGAUGUAGUUAAAAUUGUCGAUAUUCAUGGACUGCUGGUUUGGGUCAUAGUUACAGUAUCAAUGACUGCAGUGCUUUUACAAUGACAUACAUUUUGAUGACAGAACAUUUACUCUGGAUUGAUUUCUCAGUCUGCAUUUCUUGGGUUCAGAAUUGGUUCAAGUUAUAUUGCACAGCUACAGCUUAUGUGCGACUGUGUUAAACCCCCGUAAGUCACAUAAAUCUCAAAACUGACAAAUGCUUCUCAGUUUUGAAACUUACGGUAAAACUGCAGAAGCUGUAGUUGGAUAAUCAAGACGUUCCUUAAUUUGUACUUUACUCCUAAUCAUUAAAUUACAAGAGAUGCAUAUAGGAUAUUGUAAUUUUUUUACAAUAACGCCAAAGGAAUAUAAUUCAAAUAUAAAAUGAAUAGGACUUUAUUAUCUUAAUUUCAGUGAGCAUCGUUAGCACCUUAAAAGUGCCAAAAGACCAAGCAUCCUGCAAAAUUACUAGAGCAAGACACUGAUAGCUCAUAGAUUUAAGGCAAACAAUCACAGUAAAACUGGAAAACUUAAUUCUUAACAUGUAUGAUACAGUAGGUGCUAUAAAGAGAAAAGCAGUCAAAACACAGCUCAUAUCUUAAAACUUUAUUAGUGGCAAAUGUGGCAAAUUGUUAUUAUACAGAAUACUAUUUAAUUAGCUUCUUGACUAACAUAUAAAACAUUAAUGCUUAACUGGUUAUCUCAUAACUUUACGUGGUAGACCAUCACAUAAAAACUGUGUAUAGAUCUCACAAAUGCGAGAGCUCAUGCUACAAACAUUAAAGUUAUUAAGUAAGGAAGGAACAUAUACGAAAAUCACUAAACUGGAGAUACAAGGCUUUUAAAACAGAAGCAGUUUGAAAUAAGUGGUUAAUCAAAUAUCAUUUGAGAAUGUAAGCUGCUGUUAUAGCUAUAAAUGACUGUAAAUGACCUUCAAGAA